GAUGAACGCUAGCGGCGUGCCUAAUACAUGCAAGUCGAGCGAAUGGAUUAAGAGCUUGCUCUUAUGAAGUUAGCGGCGGACGGGUGAGUAACACGUGGGUAACCUGCCCAUAAGACUGGGAUAACUCCGGGAAACCGGGGCUAAUACCGGAUAACAUUUUGAACCGCAUGGUUCGAAAUUGAAAGGCGGCUUCGGCUGUCACUUAUGGAUGGACCCGCGUCGCAUUAGCUAGUUGGUGAGGUAACGGCUCACCAAGGCAACGAUGCGUAGCCGACCUGAGAGGGUGAUCGGCCACACUGGGACUGAGACACGGCCCAGACUCCUACGGGAGGCAGCAGUAGGGAAUCUUCCGGAAUGGACGAAAGUCUGACGGAGCAACGCCGCGUGGGUGAUGAAGGCUUUCGGGUCGUAAACCUCUGUUGUUAGGGAAGAACAAGUGCUAGUUGAAUAAGCUGGCACCUUGACGGUACCUAACCAGAAAGCCACGGCUAACUACGUGCCAGCAGCCGCCGUAA
rnacentral:rRNA from 1 species